UACGGAGGGUGCAAGCGUUAUCCGGAUUCACUGGGUUUAAAGGGUGCGUAGGUGGAGUGGUAAGUCAGUGGUGAAAUCUCCAAGCUUAACUUGGAACUGCCGUUGAUACUAUCAUUCUUGAAUAUCGUGGAGGUUAAGCGGAAUAAUGUCAUGUAGCGGUGAAAUGCUUAGAUAUGACAUAGAACACCGAUUGCGAAGGCAGCUUGCUACACGAUCAUUGACACUGAGGCACGAAAGCGUGGGGAUCAAACAGG
rnacentral:rRNA from 1 species